rnacentral:rRNA from 1 species
GAUGAACGCUAGCGGGAGGCCUAACACAUGCAAGCCGAGCGGUAUUGUUUCUUCGGAAAUGCGAGAGCGGCGUACGGGUGCGUAACACGUGUGCAACCUGCCUUUAUCUGGGGGAUAGCCUUUCGAAAGGAAGAUUAAUACUCCAUAAUAUAUUGAACGGCAUCGUUUAAUAUUGAAAGCUCCGGCGGAUAGAGAUGGGCACGCGCAAGAUUAGCUAGUUGGUGAGGUAACGGCUCACCAAGGCGAUGAUCUUUAGGGGGCCUGAGAGGGUGAUCCCCCACACUGGUACUGAGACACGGACCAGACUCCUACGGGAGGCAGCAGUGAGGAAUAUUGGUCAAUGGGUGCAAGCCUGAACCAGCCAUCCCGCGUGAAGGACGACUGCCCUAUGGGUUGUAAACUUCUUUUGUAUAGGGAUAAACCUACCCUCGAGAGGGUAGCCGAAGGUACUAUACGAAUAAGCACCGGCUAACUCCGUG